rnacentral:pre_miRNA from 1 species
GUGGAAGGGGCAUGCAGAGGAGCAGGGGCUCUGAUUAGAAGCCAUGGCCAUGUGCUACCCUCGCUCGCCCUCCUGUGCCUUCCUCUUCCAUU